CUGAGAAGAUAUGUGGAAAGGAGAAUGCACUUUCUUUCUUUCUUUUUUUUUUUUGAGACAGAGUCUCGCUCUGUUGCCCAGGGUGGAGUGCAGUUGCGCGAUCUCGGCUCACUGCAAACUCCGCCUCCCCGGUUCACGCCAUUCUCCUGCCUCAGCCUCCCGAGUAGUUGGGACUACAGGCGCCCGCCACCACUCCUGUAUUUUUAGUAGAGAUGGGGUUUCACCGUGUUAGCCAGGAUGUUCUCGAUCACCUGACCUCGUGAUCCGCCCGCCUCGGCCUCCCAAAGUGCUGAAGUGCAUUAAUCAUCGGCCAGAUGGAACACAGUGACCCAAAAGAAGGCUGGGCGUGUAUAAAGGUGUUGCAGGACUUUACCUUAGUUCGGCUAAAGACGGGGUCCUUGUCCGUCCCAUGGCCAUGAAAAUUUAGGCUCGUAGACGGUUUGAAUGGUGAGUAGGAGAGAGUAGUAUUGAUUGAAGAGGAAGAAAAGAGGCUCGAAUCAGGGACUCUCGCAAGGCGAGCCCCUGCUAGAGCGCUUCCCGCCUGCAGCUUGAAUCCCGGGUUCCACACAGGAAGAGGAGGGACCAGGCUCCUCCCUGCUCCAAAGGGCACGAACUUCUGUGUCUCCACCCCAGUGCGCAUUUCUCCUAGUGCGCAGGCUCGUUGGAGGUUUUCCGGGGACCCUUUCCAACCUGGCUGUCUCAAAGGGAAGCAGAUUAUGCAAGGCUUUGUGUUCCAGCUUAGGCUAAACCAAGAACAACUUUAUCCUAAGGUCAAGAGGAAAUAUUUGAUAGGUUCUAAAGAAGGGAGGAGGAAACUGAGACCCAGGCAGAAGAAUUUGUUCUUCAAACUGCGAAAGCAGAGCUACCCCAAUUCAUCCACACGCAUAGUAUUUCGGAGAAAAAAAGAAAACCCUAUGAUGGCAAGCAGUCAUAAGGAUGAAUGGUACGCUGCUGUAGGACUGAUGAGCUGCCCAAGAAAACUUUAUAUCCACCCCAUAAAGCUGUCAGCAGUGAAAACAGAGAGUUUAACAGCAGGAAAUGUGAACGUAUUGAUAUCAUCCACAGUAUCCCGAAUGCUGAUGAGAACUUGCCUCUUAAAUGUCUAGAGUGACGGGAUUGAUAUUGGGAAAUAAAAACAUACACUUUGUUUCAGCGAACAGGACAUAUUGCCCUUUGGAUCUAAAAUAGCAUCCAUUCACAUUGACCAGGAUGAUAAGUGAGAACUUCCAAGUCAGCCCCAGGAAAAGGGUGGACAGGAACUGUGAGUGUUGAUGUUUUCCAGCAGUGCUUAGUGUGCAUGUACCUUGAGAUCUUGCAUUUAUACUUACUGCUUUUGACUUUGCUUUUCCCUCCAAAGAAAAUUAUUCCUGUUUACCAACAUUUAUAGCAUUGUGCGAUAUACAGCAAUUGGGCCAGUCUCCUUCAGACUUUGGGCACUUACCAAGUGGCAUAUGUAUGGCAGAGAUUGUUAAUUCCCUUCCUCCAACAUUUGGUCUCUUCUUCUUCCUCAGAUAGAUAACCCUGAUUCUUAGCUGAGCAUAUUGCAGCUCAGAACUGAAGACUAUAUUCAACCUUCGUGUUUAGCUAGAAGAGGCAAAAGGAUCUCUUUACCAGGAAAAUGUGAAUGGAAAUGCGUAGAAUUUGUGGAAAGGCUACUUGAAAAAUGCUGCUUCAGCUGAACGUAAGCCCAUCUGUGCUCUUCAGCCAUUCUUCCUCCGUCUGGCCUCAACUAGCCAUGAAUACCACAAAGUGACCUUGAAAAAGAGUCCACAGGCUAAAGAUGGUGAAAUAGGGAGAAGCCCAAAUUCCUGAUAAUGCUAUGGAGCCUCUCCUAGCCCAGAGCUGCUGAUUCAGGACUUCCUCUCUGCAACAACAACAACAACAACAACAAACAAACAAACAAAAACAAAAAAACAAACAAAAAACCAUGCCUCUUUUGUUUAAGCCAUUGGUUGUUGUUUUCUUUGCUAAAGGAGGGCAAAUUCUAAAUGUUACAUAUAGGCAAGAUCAAUAAUGGUGCUGCACAGGGCCACAUUGGAGGCUCAGAGAAGAGGACACUUUAGUAAUACUGAUCCUGCCUUUACAGUUUUGAUAUUUUAUUCAUCAUGCAUUUUUUUGCAUUAAUUUUGAUUUUUUAAAUUAUUGCAUUGGGACUUGUGCUCCUGAAAAGAUAAAUUGCAAAUACUUUCACCUAUUCCUCCUACUAAGUACAACUAAAAACCUUGGACAUACAUUUUAUAUGUAAUGAAGGCAGAAGGCUUCCUCAGGACCAGAGGAAUGACACAGCAGUGACCUCGCUCGAUUUUCUUUUCGCCUUGUGUCACUUGCACAUGUAACUGAAGGAGCAGGCAACCCACAAAUGCCAAUUAGAGCACAGACAACGAGUCCCAGCAGCAAACAGAUGCUUUCACUAGUCAAAGGAUCAGGAAAGGGGCAGUCUAUUAAGACAGGAAACUUUUAGAAAAUAGCUACUCUGCUUUAUCCAAAUACUGCAGAAAAACUGGCUCCACUCCAGCCAAGCCAGCAAAGAUUAAAUUGGUAACUGAGUGGGGACACUUGUGAAGAUGAAAUAAGAUGCCCAAGACCCUUACAGGAAUUGUGUCAGACAAGGCCAAUAUGAAGUCAGUAUUAAAAAAAAUUAUUUUAUUUUAUUUUAUUAUUAUUAUUUUUUUGAGAUGGAGUCUAGCUCUGUUGCCCAGGCUGGAGUGCAGUGAGCGAUCUCGGCUCACUGCAAGCUCCGCCUCCCAGGUUCAUGCCAUUCUCCUGCCUCAGCCUCCUGAGUAGCUGAGACUACAGGCGCCCGCCACCACGCCCAUCUAUUUUUUUUUUUGUUUUUGUUUUGCAUUUUUUAGUAGAGACAGGGUUUCACCAUGUUAGCCAGGAUGGUCUUGAUCUCCUGACCUUGUGAUCCACCCGCCUCGGCCUCCCAAAGUGCUGGGAUUACAGGUGUGAGCCACUGCGCCCGGCCAGAUUUUAUUUUUUACAGUAGUUUUACAGCAACAAUUAUUGUAAGGUACACAGAGUUCCCAUAUGCCUCCUGCCCCUACACAUGCACAGCCUCCCCUGUUACCUACAUCCCUAACAGAGUGGUACAUUUGUUAUGAUUGAUGAACCUGCAUUGACACUUCAUUAAUACCUAAAGUCCAUAGUUUACAAUAGAGUUUUUUCUUAAGGUUGUACCUAUUAUGGGUUUUGACAAAUGCUAAUGACUUGGAUCCACCAUUCUAGUAUCAUAGAGUAGUUUCAUUGCCUUAAAAAUGUUCUGUGCUCUCCCUAUUCUUCUCUUCCUCCCCCGAAUCCCUGGUAACCACUAGUCCUCUUACUGUAUUCAUAGUUUUGCCUUUUUUCACAAUGUCAUAGUGGGAAACAUGUAGUAUAUAGUGUUUCCAGAUUGGCUUCUACUUAGUAAUGUGAAUUUCAGUUUCCU
ensembl:lincRNA